rnacentral:piRNA from 1 species
UGCCUGCUGGUCCCUCUAAGCAACCUCAC